rnacentral:rRNA from 1 species
AUUGAACGCUGGCGGCAUGCCUUACACAUGCAAGUCGAACGGCAGCACGGGGGCAACCCUGGUGGCGAGUGGCGAACGGGUGAGUAAUGCAUCGGAACGUGCCCAGUAGUGGGGGAGUAACUAGUCGAAAGAUUAGCUAAUACCGCAUACGACCUAUGGGUGAAAGCGGGGGAUUCGCAAGAACCUCGCGCUAUCGGAGCGGCCGAUGUCUGAUUAGCUAGNGGUCGGGGUAAAGGCCCACCAAGGCUUCGAUCAGUAGCUGGUCUGAGGGGACGACCAGCCACACUGGGACUGAGACACGGCCCAG